rnacentral:rRNA from 1 species
AACGAACGCUGGCGGCAUGCCUAACACAUGCAAGUCGAACGAGACCUUCGGGUCUAGUGGCGCACGGGUGCGUAACGCGUGGGAACCUGCCCUUAGGUUCGGAAUAACUCCCCGAAAGGGGUGCUAAUACCGGAUAAUGUCUUCGGACCAAAGAUUUAUCGCCUUUGGAUGGGCCCGCGUUGGAUUAGCUAGUUGGUAGGGUAAAAGCCUACCAAGGCGACGAUCCAUAGCCGGUCUGAGAGGAUGAUCAGCCACACUGGGACUGAGACACGGCCCAGACUCCUACGGGAGGCAGCAGUGGGGAAUAUUGGACAAUGGGCGAAAGCCUGAUCCAGCAAUGCCGCGUGAGUGAUGAAGGCCUUAGGGUUGUAAAGCUCUUUUACCCGGGAUGAUAAGGACAGGACCGGGAGAAUAAGCUCCGGCGAACUCCGG